GUCUGGGUUAACUUCUCUUAAUAGGUCAGGGCAUCUGACUGUUAAUCAGAAGGCUGGUUGUUCAAGCCCACCCAGGGAUG